GCAGAACCAGGUCACUGCGUAACACAUUCUCGCACCGUCCACACUGGAGCCCCACAGCCCCGGGCACAACGCACCCAAGUGACGUAGGAAGAGCAGCUUGAGACGAAAACAGUUGCAGAUGGAGAAAGAAUGAGUAAGAGGACCGGAGCGAUUGCGCAGGUGUCCGAAGUCAAAAGAGAGGGAAUCAGGGCCAGUGCGUCUCUUUACUACAAAACAAAGUAGUCCCUGCAGUCUCGCCCUGCAGACGAUAACCCAGCCUCCUGAAGAAAGCUUCUCCCACUUUGGAUGGAAAUGGCACAUGGGCAUAGACCCGGCGUAUGCCACUCUGCUUUGUUCUGGACUCCAGUCCCUGCACC